rnacentral:rRNA from 1 species
CCUACGGGUGGCAGCAGUGGGGAAUAUUGGACAAUGGGCGAAAGCCUGAUCCAGCCAUGCCGCGUGUGUGAAGAAGGCCUUCGGGUUGUAAAGCACUUUCAGUGGGGAAGAAAGCCUUGGGGCUAAUACCCUCGAGGAAGGACAUCACCCACAGAAGAAGCAUCGGCUAACUCCGUGCCAGCAGCCGCGGUAAUACGGAGGGUGCGAGCGUUAAUCGGAAUUACUGGGCGUAAAGCGCGCGUAGGCGGUCUGAUAAGCCGGUUGUGAAAGCCCCGGGCUCAACCUGGGAACGGCAUCCGGAACUGUCAGGCUAGAGUGCAGGAGAGGAAGGUAGAAUUCCCGGUGUAGCGGUGAAAUGCGUAGAGAUCGGGAGGAAUACCAGUGGCGAAGGCGGCCUUCUGGACUGACACUGACGCUGAGGUGCGAAAGCGUGGGUAGCAAACAGGAUUAGAUACCCGUGUAGUC